CUCAGGUGUUGUUGGGUAGGGGAGCGUUCUGUAAGCCUGUGAAGGUGUGUCGUGAGGCAUGCUGGAGGUAUCAGAAGUGCGAAUGCUGACAUAAGUAACGAUAAAGCGGGUGAAAAGCCCGCUCGCCGGAAGACCAAGGGUUCCUGUCCAACGUUAAUCGGGGCAGGGUGAGUCGACCCCUAAGGCGAGGCCGAAAGGCGUAGUCGAUGGGAAACGGGUUAAUAUUCCCGUACUUGGUGUUACUGCGAAGGGGGGACGGAGAAGGCUAUGUUGGCCGGGCGACGGUUGUCCCGGUUUAAGCGUGUAGGUGUGUGUUCCAGGUAAAUCCGGUCCACUUUAACACUGAGGCGUGAUGACGAGGCACUACGGUGCUGAAGCAACAAAUGCCCUGCUUCCAGGAAAAGCCUCUAAGCAUCAGGUAACAUCAAAUCGUACCCCAAACCGACACAGGUGGUCAGGUAGAGAAUACCAAGGCGCUUGAGAGAACUCGGGUGAAGGAACUAGGCAAAAUGGUGCCGUAACUUCGGGAGAAGGCACGCUGACACGUAGGUGAAGUGAUUUACUCACGGAGCUGAAGUCAGUCGAAGAUACCAGCUGGCUGCAACUGUUUAUUAAAAACACAGCACUGUGCAAACACGAAAGUGGACGUAUACGGUGUGACGCCUGCCCGGUGCCGGAAGGUUAAUUGAUGGGGUCAGCGCAAGCGAAGCUCCUGAUCGAAGCCCCGGUAAACGGCGGCCGUAACUAUAACGGUCCUAAGGUAGCGAAAUUCCUUGUCGGGUAAGUUCCGACCUGCACGAAUGGCGUAAUGAUGGCCAGGCUGUCUCCACCCGAGACUCAGUGAAAUUGAACUCGCUGUGAAGAUGCAGUGUACCCGCGGCAAGACGGAAAGACCCCGUGAACCUUUACUAUAGCUUGACACUGAACAUUGAGCCUUGAUGUGUAGGAUAGGUGGGAGGCUUUGAAGCGUGGACGCCAGUCUGCGUGGAGCCGACCUUGAAAUACCACCCUUUAAUGUUUGAUGUUCUAACGUGGACCCGUAAUCCGGGUUGCGGACAGUGUCUGGUGGGUAGUUUGACUGGGGCGGUCUCCUCCUAAAGAGUAACGGAGGAGCACGAAGGUUGGCUAAUCCUGGUCGGACAUCAGGAGGUUAGUGCAAUGGCAUAAGCCAGCUUGACUGCGAGCGUGACGGCGCGAGCAGGUGCGAAAGCAGGUCAUAGUGAUCCGGUGGUUCUGAAUGGAAGGGCCAUCGCUCAACGGAUAAAAGGUACUCCGGGGAUAACAGGCUGAUACCGCCCAAGAGUUCAUAUCGACGGCGGUGUUUGGCACCUCGAUGUCGGCUCAUCACAUCCUGGGGCUGAAGUAGGUCCCAAGGGUAUGGCUGUUCGCCAUUUAAAGUGGUACGCGAGCUGGGUUUAGAACGUCGUGAGACAGUUCGGUCCCUAUCUGCCGUGGGCGCUGGAGAACUGAGGGGGGCUGCUCCUAGUACGAGAGGACCGGAGUGGACGCAUCACUGGUGUUCGGGUUGUCAUGCCAAUGGCAC
rnacentral:rRNA from 1 species